GCUGUGAGCACCAUGGCCUGGACUCCUCUGCUCCUCGCGCUCCUCUCUCACUGCACAGGGUCCCUCUCCCAGCCUGUGCUGACUCAGCCGCCCUCCCUCUCUGCCUCUCUGGGAGCCACAGCCACACUCACCUGCACCCUGAGUGGUGUUUCUGAUAUCAGUGGUUACUGGAUAUCCUGGUACCAGCAGAAGCCAGGGAGCCCUCCCCGGUUUCUCCUGGAAUAUAAAUCAGACUCAGAUAAGUACCAGGGUUCUGGGGUCCCCAGCCGCUUCUCUGGAUCCAAAGACGCCUCGGCCAAUGCGGGGGUCCUGACCAUCUCGGGGCUGCAGCCUGAGGACGAGGCUGACUUUUACUGUGCUACAGGUCAUGGCAGUGGGAGCAGCUACAGUUACACACAGUGUCUCAGAUGA